rnacentral:misc_RNA from 1 species
GCAGGAGGAGAAGGAGGAGGAGGAACUGAAUAUGCAAAAUGAAUCGAUUUCAUUUAUAGCACCACAAAAGGAACAAAGGAGUAAGGACCUGCAACAGUUUGUAAAAAAGAAAAAGCAAAAGAAGGUAAUCACAAAAUUCAGAAUUUCGAGAACUGUCCAUUUCGGCCAGCUUAGUGGAGCCCCCUGGAGAAUAAAGCGAGCUUUGUUUGGCCCACCCAAAAGAAAAUUAAGAACUUCCUCUUGGUUAUCUAUGAGAACAAGUUUUUGUGUUCUUGUCCCCUUAAUGAAAUGUUAUCUCAUAAAUUAUAAAUUUUAAAAGAUGAUGAUUUUGAAGAAAAAAAAAUUCCACUUUUUUUGAGGGAAUUAGAUAUCACACUACUAAUAUUUACUUUUCUAAUAAUUAGAAUGUGUUUGGUCAAGUU